rnacentral:sRNA from 2 species
UUUCCUUAUUUUUGUUGUUGUGAUUCCGACCAAGAUUAAGAUACGGACAUAGUCACACUGCGUCAACAGUUGGAUGAUAGGCUAAAUUGUAAAACAGCUGUAUUCGACUGUCGCAGGUAUCAAGCCAACCCGAAUCAACCUCCUACCUUUGAUGAGACUGCUUCAAGCCCGUAACGAGCGAUUGUUUGCCGUGUAUUCUGCCACUCUAACCAUGUCAUAGCUUGUAACAAGCAAUCAGCGAGGUCGUCAAGUUUCCCAAUUUCAAGUGUUUGCGAGCCAUCCGCGACAGAGUGGGGGAGCAUAUUAGAACGAGAAGAAGAAAUUGGCAUGAUAAAGUCCCCCCCAGUUUUCAUAAUAUUUGCCUUUCUCGUCUUCUUUCCCCAUUUUUUUAAGUAGGCAUUGACUACCUCAUUCACCUG